GGGUGCUUAGCUCAGUUGGCAGAGCGUCGCCCUUACAAGGCGAAUGUCGGCGGUUCGAACCCGUCAGCACCCACCA
rnacentral:tRNA from 1 species